CCAUCACGGAAGCCGCAGUUUAGCGCGUAGAAUAGUGGCGCUGCGAAGCACGGAAGCCGGUGAGAGCCCGGCGCGGUCGCGCCACUGUAAUCGGCCUUGCAAUCCACGAGAGCCGAAAGCCAGACCUGAGCUUCGCAUCAAUCCUUU
rnacentral:ncRNA from 2 species